rnacentral:rRNA from 1 species
UACGUAGGAGGCGAGCGUUGUCCGGAGUUACUGGGCGUAAAGGGUGCGUAGGCGGCUGCGCGCGUGGAGGGUGAAAUCUCUCGGCUUACCCGGGAGGGGGCUUUCCAGACGGCGUGGCUUGAGGGACGGAGAGGGGCGUGGAAUUCCGGGUGGAGCGGUGGAAUGCGUAGAGAUCCGGAAGAACACCGGUGGCGAAGGCGGCCUGCUGGGCAGUAGCUGACGCUGAGGCGCGACAGCGUGGGGAGCAAACAGG